rnacentral:rRNA from 1 species
UCGCGAAAACUUUGCAAUACACGAAAGUGUGACAGGGCUAUCCCGAGUGCCAUCCGCUGAGGAAGGCUUUUACCCAGUCUAGAAAGCUGGGGGAAUAAGGAGAGGGCAAGUCUGGUGU